rnacentral:rRNA from 1 species
GGAGUCUGGGCCGUGUCUCAGUCCCAAUGUGGCCGAUCGACCUCUCAGUCCGGCUACCGAUCGUCGCCAUGGUGGGCCGUUACCCCGCCAUCUAGCUAAUCGGACGCGAAGCCAUCUCUCAGCGGAUUUCUCCUUUUACCUCUCUAUCAUGCGGUAGUGUGGUCAUAUGCGGUAUUAGCACCUAUUUCUAAGUGUUAUCCCCCUCUGAGAGGCAGGUUCUUCACGUGUUACUCACCCGUUCGCCACUAACUUUCCAGAUUCUUCGACGAAUCUCCGAUUCUGAAUCGUCCGUUCGACUUGCAUGUGUUAAGCGCGCCGCCAGCGUUCGUCCUCGAGCCACUGAUCAAACUACU